rnacentral:lncRNA from 1 species
AUGGUUUUAUUAUGAUUAUAAUUAUAUCAACAAAAUGUAUUUCUAUAUUACAAUGUAAACAAUACAGAUACAAGAAACCGUUCAUUACACAAUUUGGAGAUUGAUUUUGAUAUUAUUUUAUAAUUUUACAAGGAAUUAAGUUGUUAUCCAUUAUCCACAGUCUGCAUCGUCUACAGAAAGGGAGCUGUAACGGUAAAAUUCAUUCUCUGUAGAUUUUUACUUUACAAUAUCUUUAAAAAUGAAGAAACAAAUAUAAGUCAUACUUAAACAUAGCAAGGUGGUCAUACACUCUUGUAUCUUCAUAACCAUUUUUAAGGAGGGAUAAAAAUAAAUUUCAAACAACAGUGCACACAUUGAGUCGCCAUUCCUGAUUUACAAUGUUUUGGUGCAAGGUUCUUACUGAACAUGGUUAUCCUGUAUAUUAUAUCCUGUAUAUUAUAUACCUCGUCAUAAGAUGAAAUAUAAAAGCAAACAUCAAUGUCAGUUAUACAUUUAACAUAGAUUCAAAGCUAAGUAAAAAAGGAAUAAAAAAUAUUUAAACCAAUCUAUAUUAUGUUUAUUAAAGAUAUCAAUUUAAAUGGGUAGGACAAAGUCUAUACAUGUAUAAUGUAUGUAUACAUGCAAUUGCAUUAGGUCAAUUUCUAUCUGAUGCAGUUCAUAUCUUGGUAUCAGACAGUAUCCCAACAUCACAACAAAAUAAGAAAUAUAGGGGUU